ACGAGGGGGGCAAGCGUUGUUCGGAAUUACUGGGCGUAAAGGGCGCGUAGGCGGUCUGACAAGUCUUCCGUGAAAGCCCACGGCUCAACCGUGGAACUGCGGGGGAAACUGACAGACUUGAGUCCGGGAGGGGAGAGUGGAAUUCCCAGUGUAGCGGUGAAAUGCGCAGAUAUUGGGAGGAACACCGGAGGCGAAGGCGUCUCUCUGGACCGGUACUGACGCUGAGGCGCGAAAGCCAGGGGAGCGAACGGG
rnacentral:rRNA from 1 species